GCGGAAUUUAAUAAUGAUUGUUUAUAUUCAACAAACCAGAUCGUCAAAUAAUGUUGCAGCAACGAAAGUCAUUAGUUUAAUUCUCGUUUGUAAAUCAGAGUUAUACCCAUUUGAACAGGACAAACAUAUUUAUGCAACGACGCCUUUCAUGUGGCACGAUAAAGUUUAUCUAGCAAACAUUCGAAUUACUAUCAACUCAUUAAAUAAAGCGCUGGCGUAUCCGUGAUCGUCUACCGUAUCCAUACAUUCCAUUCCCUGCGCAAAACAAAACCAUUUCAUAUAUAUUACAACGUUAUAUAUAUAUAUGAAUGAUGUUAGCUUAUAACAACUUAUAGGCCCUUUGCUUACAUCCAGCAGCGUAUCUGUAAAGGUUAUUUGUCAUCCGUCAAGCAUUGAAUGCAGCACACGAACUAGUAUCUGUCUGAUAUGAUGGAUGUUCAGAAUUAGUAGUUAAAAGCAAAAGUGGAAGGCUAGUUGAGGAAGAGAGAGAGAGAGGUCUGAACUCUUAUAUUUUGAAAAUUGCCCUUUUUCGAUAUUGAUUUUUACUGGAUAUACGCUCUUAAUAAUAGUAACUUAAUCCGAAAAAAUAAUAUUUUUUAUGUGUGUGUAUCAUUUCGGAAGUUUGUUAACUUUCAUUGGAACAGGAUAUUCAAUUUCGUUUCUUAAUAACAAAUGAAGCUAGCUU
rnacentral:lncRNA from 1 species